AGGGGCACACUGAAUUAAGAAAGUUUGUUUAAAAUGUCUAAAUUUUAUACGAUUUCAACAACUCUCUAGUUGGCCACUAUUGAGUAUCAAGCUAUAAAUUUAACUAAGAGGGGCAAACUGAAUACUGAAAGUUUGUUGAAAAUGUCUAAAUUUUAUACGAUUUCAACAACUCUCUAUUUGGCUAUGUUUGAGUAUUGAGCUUUAAGUUGAACUAAGAAGGUCACACUGAAUUCGGAAAGUUUGUUAAAUUUUGAACUGUUUGUUAAUUGAUUAUUGGCAAAAAGGAAGUAUCUUAACACAAAAUCUUUGACUUUGCAAGUUAUACUGGCCUGGAUAUACUUCAAUGUUGCCGUAAGGCUUUUCCAUUCAAAUCAAAUGGUAACUGUUCAUGUCCAUAAAGGGUGACUUUCAGUAGCUCUUUUUUGAAAGAUUUAAUAUACCAUGAGUCAACAAUAUCGCAUGAACAAUGUUGAGAAGAUCACGUCUAUUUAAAUCAUAAGUAUUGCAGAGCAGAAAAUAGUGCUCCGUGUCCUCAACACUAUCAUUUGUUGGGCAUAAAGGGUUCAAAGAAUCCCUAAAAUUAUCUUUGAAUUUAUGAAAAUUUAGCUUACUGAGUCCAACCCGUAGCUGUGUUAGGACGGAUAAGUCUUUUGGAUCAUAAAUACGAUAGACCGGCUUUGGGGCUGGGCGGUUAAUUGACAGUAAAUUUUUCAUGAAAAGAUUCACAGAGCUGGAUAGUCUAAUUUCAGGGUCGAGCCUUCCCCAUUCCAAUAAGCAGUUUAGAUAGAAGCUUGAUUUGAAACCUAGCGUUAUUGCACGUAUUUGCCCAUUUGUAGCACGUCUGCAAAGAUCAUAGCAGGCCUCUUGUAGAUGAGGAUGUAUAUAUAUAUAUAACAAAAUGUAUAUUUCUACUAAGUCUAUAAAUUUAUUCAUAUUAUUUUGGGUAUCAGACUGUUGAAUUCGUUAGCAAAAGACUGCCAUAACAAAUCAUCUCAACCUAUAAAUUCUAUAUUGCAAAUAGGUGCUGUUGAAUAAGAAUUGGGGAAACAAGGAUUCAUUGGCUUUAUGCCCCUUUUUCAGACCUUUAAGCUAUACCCUCGUAUUUAUGAACAACUUCUCUUUUAUAACGUAUGGAGGACAUUUAAAAAUGGAGUAAAUCUUUAUAUUUAUGCCAUAUGGUUGAAAAUAUAUAGUGCUCUAUACUGACCGGGUGUUUUGGAGAAGUAGUUUAAACCCCACGGCAAUUUUUGUCCAGUUUAAUUUCUAGGGCGCUGGACGUUCGCCCCGACUCAGUUGCCCCAUUGGCGAAAACAGCCAACACCACGAGAAGGCGGGGAUGAGCUGCAGAGGAGAGGCUAUAUGUUGCGCUAGGCAUUUCUCACUGUUUACUGUGAGACCUAUAUCACUCUGCCUUGAAGGCCAAAAAAAGGUUCCUCGUCGGGGGCUAGCCAACGAAGGUAUCCCUUUGUCUCCUAGGAAUACCCUCUAUCUGACAAGCGUUGUGUGCAACGUCAAUAGACGGAGACCGGCACCACAAGUCAGAGUACAGGCUAGCCCCCACCAUAUCCCUUUGUCUCCUUCGGGAUACCAUUCUGACAGUGUUGUGUGCGACGUCAAUAGACGGAGACCGGCACCACUUAUCAGAAGGAGGAACUGAAGGCUCAUUGGCGCCAUUCAGUUUUAUAUGUGGCAGAGGGAUUGUUUGAAACUAACCAAUAAAAAUGAACGAUAUUAAAAUAACAAUAUGGGAUCCUGUCAAUCAUGCUGGCUUGUUGUUCUUAUCAACCAAUCAUAUCAUUGUAAAGAGGGUGAGGCAAGAAUGCUUUGCCAUGAAAGACCGCCAAAACAGAGACCUUCGAAAAGCCCGCCAAAUUUCGUUGAACAGAGUCCCGCCAUGAUAUUUUGAAGAUUUAUUUUCUGUGAAAUCCUUGGUUUACUCAGUGAUUCUGUAAACUCUUACCAAUAAACGGAAAAUGAGGUAAAGAACGUUUAUUCUCUUCUUGGACAUUGAUUUAUUUAUCUCUUUAAAGGUGAAAUUUGAAUUCCUGAUCUAUCUGCUUCUUGUUGUCGCUAAACACAAAGCUUGUGUUGUAAUCAAACAUGGCCAAAAAUUUAAGGCGAUGCAUUGAAGCCCCCCGGUAGAAGGGCAGGGUUGCAGCUUAUACAGUUGCUUCGCUUUUGUAUUUGUAAAUAUCACUUUCACCCCAAUGCCAUAUGUAUCCAGCAAUAAAGAACAGCCUAAAGCAAUUCGCGAUAACAAAGUUUCGCGAAAUUAGAACCAUAAUUAGGUAUUAUUGUUUCGUAUUAUGAAAGUCUAGUAUAAAACAGAUUUGAAACUUAUAGAAAGACUACGAUGGAUAACAGUUUGUAAAUCAGAUUGUUUUACUGAUUGACUGUUGCACGAAUACCCUAAACAUGGAACCAAGCAAUGUUUUGAAUUUUAUUUGGCCUUUGUAUCUUAUUGAUCAUAAUUAAAUUUCCAAGAUAAAGAUUUUUAAAUAGAAUGCCUUGUAAAAUAUCUAUUCUAAGGACGGCCAGAAUAUGCAUCUAAUAUUGAAAACAUUGACAAGAUCCUAGGCAAUUAUCGCUAGCUGUUCUUAAUAAUUAUGACCCAAGGACACAUUAAAGGCACUUAUCUUUAGUGGCACCUGUUUUUAGGGGUACUCUAACAAAAACUCUAUAAGUAUAAAAAGCUCGUUUAAGGGACAACAUAACAAAGUUUCCAUUGAGAUUAAAAAGGCUAUUUCUGUAAGCCUAGCUUGAACGAUGUAGAUAGCACUUUCUAGCUUCGUGGUAGGCAUUGCCACCACCUAGAUUAUCUAUAGAGCUUUUGGAGGCCCUGUUGUAAAACGUGCGAGUUCGAGAUUGUAAAGAUCAAAUUGUUAUUGAUGCUCUGCAUGGUUAUGGCCAAAUUUUGGGUCAGGUUCAUCGACUGUUUAACUAUUCGAGUAGCUAACCUAAUGUACGUAUCCUAAGGCAGAAUUGUUUAUUUGCAAAUAAAGAUCAAAUUGAAUCGUCAUGCAAUAGAUGAUUAUUGAAUCGUCAUGCAAUAGAUGUUCUUUUGAUGGCUAGAACAUACCACAGGCGGUUCCAAGGAGAGUAUAGGGGGGGGGAGGUAAAAUUUAAAUUUGAAACUGGUGACACGAUUUAUUUUUUCCUCUGAAUUUUUAAUGUUCCCCGAUUUUAGAGUUUAAACAGAAUCCAGUUUCGAAGUUUCGUAAAAAUUAUAUUUCCUCCACAUCGAAUGUCUUUUUUACCUAUAAUUUGAGGCCCCACUGAUCUCAAAACAGUGUGCGGAUUUCAAGCUGCAGCCUCGUUUCCGGUAUAAAUAUGUCGAAUGAAAAUGGCGGUCGUCCACAUGGAUCAACAACCAAUUAAAACAUUAUUUCAAGACAUCACUUGGAAGAUAACAGAAAUGUCUUGAGAAAGCUAAAUGGAGAUCAUAAUACUUGGUUACGGAGAAUUGUGUAUGAAUGACGAGGAGCAUGGUAAGUGCUAUUUUGUUCACUUUUUAAGAAAAUACCUGCUUUGUCUUCCUAAUCUAAACAUUUGAUUCUAUUCUUUUUAUUUUUCUUUUUUAAUACUUUAGAGCAUUAUUUUUUGUUCUGCCCCCGUCCUCUUUUCGUUAAAUUAAUCCUUGAUUGUCUUCUUUUGAAAGUCUUUCUUUAAAUCCAUUAAAUCUUUUUAUUUUUCUUUUUUUCUCUUCAAUACUUUAGAGCAUUAUUUGUUGUCUGCCCCCGUCCUCU